AGAGUUUGAUCCUGGCUCAGGAUGAACGCUAGCGACAGGCUUAACACAUGCAAGUCGAGGGGCAGCGAGAGGGUAGCAAUACCCUUGUCGGCGACCGGCGCACUGGUGAGUAACACGUAUGCGACCUGCCCCCUACAGGGGAAUAACCCGUAGAAAUGCGGCCUAAUACCCCAUAGUCCCGAGAGCUGCAUGGCCCUCGGGGGAAACGUAAGGACUAUGGGUGAGCACGCUUCUGAUUAGGUAGUUGGUGAGGUAACGGCCCACCAAGCCGACGAUCAGUAGGGGUUCUGAGAGGAAGGUCCCCCACAUUGGAACUGAGACACGGUCCAAACUCCUACGGGAGGCAGCAGUGAGGAAUAUUGGUCAAUGGACGAGAGUCUGAACCAGCCAAGUCGCGUGAAGGAUGAAGGUUCUAUGGAUUGUAAACUUCUUUUAUUCGAGGGUAAAGUGUGGUACGUGUACCAUAUUGCAAGUAUCGAAUGAAUAAGCAUCGGCUAACUCCGUGCCAGCAGCCGCGGUAAUACGGAGGAUGCGAGCGUUAUCCGGAUUUAUUGGGUUUAAAGGGUGCGUAGGCGGGCGAUUAAGUCAGCGGUGAAAGCGUGUGGCUCAACCAUACCAAGCCGUUGAAACUGGUUGUCUUGAGUGCAAACGAGGUAGGCGGAAUGUGACGUGUAGCGGUGAAAUGCUUAGAUAUGUCCCAGAACUCCGAUUGCGAAGGCAGCUUACCAGCAUGUAACUGACGCUGAGGCACGAAAGCGUGGGUAUCAAACAGGAUUAGAUACCCUGGUAGUCCACGCAGUAAACGAUGAAUACUAGCUGUUGGCGAUACAAUGUCAGCGGUACAGCGAAAGUGUUAAAGUAUUCCACCUGGGGAGUACGCCGGCAACGGUGAAACUCAAAGGAAUUGACGGGGGGCCCGCACAAGCGGAGGAACAUGUGGUUUAAUUCGAUGAUACGCGAGGAACCUUACCCGGGCUUGAAAGUUAGUGAAUGACUUGGAAACAGGUCAGCCCUUCGGGGCACGAAACUAGGUGCUGCAUGGUUGUCGUCAGCUCGUGCCGUGGGGUGUCGGCU
rnacentral:rRNA from 1 species